CACACAAAUCAGCCGCAUGAGCCUUCUCCCUCCUUGGAUCAGACUAAUUAGCAACAUCUCCUUCUUCGUAUGAAGAAUAGCAUCUGUUGCACCUAAUGCACAAACGUCAAAUACAUAUGAUAACAUAUUUACUGUUAGGCAUAAAACAAUUAGAGAAUAUCACUUUUGGUUCUUCACUGUCGCAAAGUCGAGGUUCUUGGUCCAAAGCUGUCGGGGAAUUUUAAUUCCCUUUAGUCGAACAUCUCUGUUCCUGCUAUUCAAUAUUGGCUUGGAAGCUCGAUACAUUUUCGGAUAAAUAAAGACAAUCCUACUCGAGGCACCAGUUACGAUGAUAGAGAGACCAGGUCUCUUGAAGUGUCGUACAAUCAACUCUACAACUGUAAAGCUAUUGUCAUUGUAGCAGUACAACAGAGCAGCAUACAACAACAGAGUUGCUUUAUGGGCUGUCACCUUCACUCUUCCUCUGCAUAUUCAAACAUCAUGCUAAAGUGAAGAUUUGAUUCUUGCAAAAUCCAGAAAUUGUUCAGAUAUAAAAGUGCAAGUCUCCACCCAUGAAGGUGUGUUCAAGAACAAAGCUUCAACAAAUCCAAGGACUUGUUCUUCUACAACUGAAGUUGUGUUAAGUGUUACGCCCUAUUUUGAACGGGUCCAAUAUAGUUUGCAAGUUCCCGGUUCUUCUAACUGGUUUAAAAGGGUUAGAGUCGCCACCUUAUUUUUUAGGAAAAUCAGGAAACCUAUAUGUAUUUGUGUGUCUACUCCAUUUUUAGUCCAUGAAACCUAUAAGAUUCUAGAUAAGGGUUUUAUUUACCCCGAGGGAAAGGUAUUAAGCAUCCCUCGGAGCCUGUCCGAAGACAGUCCUUAGACUUAGUUUAAUUGAACACUAGAGGGGGAUUAUCUA